AGUCCUAGCACCUCUGUCGAUGCGGAGGUCACGGCCGCCACCGCCGACCCCGGCGACGGCACCAGCGCGAGCGGGCCGCCGGCGAUGGGCAUUGAGGAGAGCUGGCUCGUUAUCGACGAUGCAGUCGACCACCUGCUGCACCGCGCUGGCGAGCACGGAGCUGUGUUUCAGCCAUCCCCAGUACCCAUGGCCGCAAGUUCGAGCUGUCAUGCUCUACGUAGAGAAUGAGACGGUUGUCGAAUUCAAAGAGCUAUAACCUCGGCGGUCGAUUUAAGUGACCACCUGCCGGGACAGAGACUGACCGGCAGAGAUCUGUUGUGCCUCAUACUUUUCUCUGUUUGUUUCUGUUUUCUGUUCCGCAAGUUUUUGUCUUUAUAACUAGUUGCAGUUGAAUCAGCUUGUUGCUGUUCGUUUAUAUUUUGUUGCAGGGUGUCCCUUAACCGUAAAGAGACGUGAAACGUUGGACGCUAAUGAAUGAGAUACAAGGCACUUUGAUGUAAAGCACAGGCAGGGCUUUGGAGUCGGAAAUGUAUCAGUUAACCAAACCAUUGAAACUGUGUUUGCGUAUGACUAUUGAAACUGCGUCUUUCACAUGCUGGUUGCACGACCUUUCUACAGAAUACGAAAUAACAUAAUCGCACAUAAGACUGUGAAAUAAAAAGCUGCUUGGUAUAAUAGGUCAGUCUGCUCCUUAUGAAGUUAUGAUGGGUUCCUAUAGCUGGUCUGGUCUUGCAACCAGCUAUGAUCAUUGAGCGUUACCGUCCAUAAUAGGUUGUCCAGCCUGCUUGUUCGUAUGUGCAUAAAAUACGGAUUUAACUUUGCUGUUC
rnacentral:lncRNA from 1 species